CUGAAGAGAGACAGCCUCUUACACGGUGAUGUACCAAAUCCUUAACUGGACAAAGAAUGAACACUAACACACAUGAUAGUAAUGGUAUUUAAUAAACAUUUGUUUACAUUUUUUAAAAAGUUGCUGGUGUAAUUCAUAAUGUACACUGAAUUGGAAUGGCAACAAAUUCCCAUCUCUCUCUGAAGAAAUAUCAGAUUUAGUUCCCAGUUGAAUUUAGUCUAGGAGGGUUCUUUUGUAAUACUUGACCAAGGGAGCUUUCAAUUCUUUGCAACCACUUUAAACAACAACAUUACAUGAUUUUCUAAUUCACUUGACAUGCUAAACAUUUCUUAAAAGGCACAUAAUUUUUUGCAGGUUUCUGAAGUUUCUCCUCUACAUUUUGAGGACUAGUUGCUUUCCUUUUACAGUGUUUGGGAAGAGAGAGUUCCAAAAUUCUUCUAAAUUGUCAGGACAAGGUCUGCAGUUUCUAUGGGCCAAGUUCUGUCACCUAUAUCUCCUGAGCAUGAUGGAAAGCCAAAAAGAUGGGACCAGUUGUAGAUAGACUUCUGUAUCCUUGAUUAUCCACACAUGGAUUGCCAUGAUGUGUGAGAUAGGGAUGAAUGCAUUUCAUCAUAGGCGCUUUUCUGGAGAUGGACCAGCUGCCUGAACAACAUGCUUCACUGUGGUACAUGUAGAAGGUGAGCCAAAAUUAGCCCUAGAUAAUUUGCCUCUGCAGCAGUAAAUAUUUGCAUUUGUCAGGGAAUUACUUUGCUGUAUGCUUCAUUGGGUACAAGUAGAUAUUCAGAUUUACACAAGGGAACAUAUAAUGAUCCUAACUGCUCAACACAACCGGAACAGGUCCCCACGGAAGCCCACUUGAACAAUGUUAUUGCAAACUGGAUAUUUAAUGGAGUUGAUUAAACAUCACAAUGUGUAAAACUAGUUUUUUCCUCAGUUAUAGUAUACUUUACAUGAAUAGCAAAAAGAAUAGAUUAGAUAAUUGAGGACAUUGGAAUGUUCUGUGAAUUAUAUUUAGGAAAUGCAACCCCUAUGCUAUCAUCUGUCAGUUAGAAACAGGCACUCUUUAAAGCCCCUCCCAAAGAUUUAUACCUGAGUGCAGAAUUUCCUACAUAAACUAGAUACUCUGAAAGUGAGCACUAAUAUGUAAAGUUAGAAACUGUACACAAAUAGCAUAGGAAAAACUUAGUUAAACACUACAUGGAGUUAGUCACCAAAUGGAAGGAAUAUCUGAUGA
rnacentral:lncRNA from 1 species